rnacentral:rRNA from 1 species
GACGAACGCUGGCGGCGUGCCUAAUACAUGCAAGUCGAGCGCAGGAAAUCGACGGAACCCUUCGGGGGGAAGUCGACGGAAUGAGCGGCGGACGGGUGAGUAACACGUAAAGAACCUGCCCUCAGGUCUGGGAUAACCACGAGAAAUCGGGGCUAAUACCGGAUGGGUCAUCGGACCGCAUGGUCCGAGGAUGAAAGGCGCUUCGGCGUCGCCUGGGGAUGGCUUUGCGGUGCAUUAGCUAGUUGGUGGGGUAAUGGCCCACCAAGGCGACGAUGGAUAGCCGACCUGAGGAGGUGAGCGGCCACACUGGGACUGAGACACGGCCCAGACUCCUACGGGAGGCAGCAGUAGGGAAUCUUCCACAAUGGACGAAAGUCUGAUGGAGCAACGCCGCGUGAACGAUGAAGGCCUUCGGGUCGUAAAGUUCUGUUGUAAGGGAAGAACAAGUGCCGCAGGCAAUGGCGGCACCUUGACGGUACCUUGCGAGAAAGCCACGGCUAACUACGUGCCAGCCGCCGCCGUAA